rnacentral:tRNA from 1 species
GCCGGGGUGCUGAAAUUGGUAGACAGAAGAGACUUAAAAUCUCUGGAUCGCAAGAUCGUGUGGGUUCGACCCCCACCCCCGGCA